UAAGGUGGUUAUAGCGACGGGGCUCACCUCUUCCCAUUCCGAACAGAGAAGUUAAGCCCGUUAGCGCCGAUGGUACUGCUUACUUGUGGGAGAGUAGGUCGCCGCCUUUU
rnacentral:rRNA from 1 species